UGGGGAAUAUUGGACAAUGGGCGAAAGCCUGAUCCAGCCAUGCCGCGUGUGUGAAGAAGGCCUUUUGGUUGUAAAGCACUUUAAGUGGGGAGGAAAAGCUUAUGGUUAAUACCCAUAAGCCCUGACGUUACCCACAAAAUAAGCACCGGCUAACUCUGUGCCAGCAGCCGCGGUAAUACAGAGGGUGCAAGCGUUAAUCGGAAUUACUGGGCGUAAAGCGCGCGUAGGUGGUUAUUUAAGUCAGAUGUGAAAGCCCCGGGCUUAACCUGGGAACUGCAUCUGAUACUGGAUAACUAGAGUAGGUGAGAGGGGAGUAGAAUUCCAGGUGUAGCGGUGAAAUGCGUAGAGAUCUGGAGGAAUACCGAUGGCGAAGGCAGCUCCCUGGCAUCAUACUGACACUGAGGUGCGAAAGCGUGGGUAGCAAACAGGAUUAGAUACCCUGGUAGUCCACGCCGUAAACGAUGUCUACCAGUCGUUGGGUCUUUUAAAGACUUAGUGACGCAGUUAACGCAAUAAGUAGACCGCCUGGGGAGUACGGCCGCAAGGUU
rnacentral:rRNA from 1 species